ensembl:lncRNA
UAUUAUUUUUAUUUCUCCCUGUCGUUAGCGUCCUUUCUGUCGGAGACACGCCACCCUGAACGCGAAAUCAAACCUACUCACCGGCUGAAAUCGCAGGAGGCGAAGCGGCUGCGAGCAAAACGCGUCCCGGCUCCGAGCACAUAGUCCAUGGUCUGCGGCUUCAGGCUAGAGCAGGGCUGAGCAGGGCGGGGGGACUUGGGGAACCGGCAGCAGUUCUGUGUGUGAAACAACCCAUUUACACCGUGCGUGCCUGUCUGUGUGUGUGUGUGUAGGGCAGAGAGAGGCUCCAGACCCAAAACGGGGAAAGGAGGGGAGGAGGGAGGGAGGAGAGAGAAGGAGGAGGAGAGAGGGAAGCAAACCCGAAUAGCGAGAGGAGUUGCGGGGAGGAAUGGGAUUUGCUGGGGUUGAGGUGGGGUUUUUUUGGUGGUGAUGGAAGCGAUUCUCGAGGAAAGAAUAAUAAACCGCGGGAUCUCAGCAGCAGGCAGGAUGGAGAGGGGCUUUGCCCAGGCUCUCUGUAUGGAAAUCACGACCUGGCUCGGUGGAAAAAUCUCCCUUUUCUUCACAUAGUGCCUCUGGAAUGUGUGCGGAAUCUCAAGGUUUGGUCCUCUCUCUAACGAUGUCCUUAGGCUGAACUUGCUUUGCAGCUCCUUCACACCAAAGGCAGCUUAAAUCAGCCAAGGAGAAUUUUGAGUCCGACCAACCCCACCCUCCCAAUAGAAGAGAAGAGAUCGACUUCAUGAGUCUUUGGCUUCGCAAUGUGGUGUUUUCAUUUCAUAGCAUCCAGAGGUGCAGUGCACAUGGUCUGAUCUUUAUUUCACCGUGCUCUCUUUCCCUCCCUGCCACGCUCUUUCACCCGAAGAGCAGUACAACUUGGUUUCCUCAACUAGUAUAACCUCUGCUGGCCCUUUUCCACUUUAAAUCUAAUAAGAACAUUCUGAUGUUAUUCACUUCCUAGAAUUAUAGAAUCACAGAAUGGUUUGGUUAGAAGGGACAUUAAAGAUCAUCUCGUUCCAGCCCCCUAACACAAGCAGGGACACCUUCCACUAGACCAGGCUGUUGGUUUUUAACCUAAAGGUUAAAAAAAGUUACUUUAUAAUUACAACACAGAUCUGCAACAGUGGUCAACUCCAAGACCUAAUUGUGGCCACAGUUCACUUUUGGCUCUUAAAAAUCACCCUGAAGCAGAGUUAAAGGGUUGUAGAGGACUAUGGUGCUUUUUGUUCAAUGAUGUUAAUAAUCUAUGGCCUUAGAAUAUGAUAUCACAAAGUCUCAUCCUAGGGCAGAAUAAUGAAAUCACAAGCAAUGGAACGGGCCAGAAACUUAUAUCACUCCCCAAAAUGCUAAAUGCAAACUGGGACCCAAUCUGAACUGAGGAGCUGCACAUCUGAUGUGAGAGGGGAGGGGCACUUCAAGUCCUCCCGUCCUAAAAGCCUCGUGGCCCUGAAUUACAGGCCAUUAGAUUCCUUUGUCCUGUAAAUCUGCGUUAAAUAGCAGCGUGAUUCUGUGUCGGUAAACGCAGGUUUUAACAGCUUAUCCCAUAAUAUUUUGAUUUUUCUUUGCUUCAUCUAUUCAGCCUUUUCACCGUUUUUCUCCCAGGACCUGCUUAUGCUUCCC